rnacentral:misc_RNA from 1 species
GAGGAGGCUCAGGCUUGUCCUGCCUGCCCGGAUGGAAGGGGACCUCAGGUCCGCCGGUGACCUCGACGGCCACAACGCCAGCAAGCUGGUAGAAGUCGGCGUAGGAGAGGAUGGGAAGUUGGUCCUUGAUGGGGUCGAGAAGCCUGACGGCGAUGUCGAGGCCGGCGUUGGCGGCGUGGGACUGCUCGCCGGGGUUCUUCAUGGUGCCGAAGGGCCCGCCGGUCCUCGACGACACAUCGAAGGUGCCAGCAGAGUGCCACGCGAGGCGGAGCAUGAGUGGGGCGCAGUUCUUCUCGGCGAUGAGGCCGCGGAGCUUGCGCUUCGCCUUGCCCACGGCCGCCAGGUACUCAUCGCUCACCGUCGGGUACGACUUGCUGCCCAUGCUCCCCUGCU